CCUUGACAUACUAAGAACUUUCCAGAGAUGGAUUGGUGCCUUCGGGAACUUAGAUACAGGUGCUGCAUGGCUGUCGUCAGCUCGUGUCGUGAGAUUGUUGGGUUAAGUCCCGCAACGAGCGCAACCCUUUUUCCUUAUUUUGCCAGCGGGUCAUGCCGGGAACUUUAAGGAUACUGCCAGUGACAAACUGGAGGAAGGCGGGGACGACGUCAAGUCAUCAUGGCCCUUACGGCCAGGGCUACACACGUGCUACAAUGGUCGGUACAAAGGGUUGCUACCUCGCGAGAGGAUGCUAAUCUCAAAAAGCCGAUCGUAGUCCGGAUCGCAGUCUGCAACUCGACUGCGUGAAGUCGGAAUCGCUAGUAAUCGCGGAUCAGAAUGCCGCGGUGAAUACGUUCCCGGGCCUUGUACACACCGCCCGUCACACCAUGGGAGUUUGUUGCACCAGAAGUAGGUAGUCUAACCGCAAGGAGGACGCUUACCACGGUGUGGCCGAUGACUGGGGUGAAGUCGUAACAAGGUAGGCGUAGAUGA
rnacentral:rRNA from 1 species